GUUGCAGGGGAAAGGAGAGAAAGGAAUCCCGUAACCCUUACGGUGAACUCCGAACGCCGUAUCUCUUCCGUCCGAGCUCCAAUCGCCGCACCGUUUGUGACCACGCGACCACCGCAUCGAGCUCUACGUUUCUACCGGAACAAUUUCAUAGGAUCCAAUUAGCUUGAGGAAAACGUUCACUCUUGCUUAUGUGAAGCUUGGGUAAGAUGCAGGUCGAGAGGCAUCUCGUUAGGCGUCUGGACUCUUGAGGCGGAGUGGUUACUGGGAUAUUUUGUUAUGAUAUGAUGUAUAUAUAUGUACUUAGCUUUCUCUCUGCAUGACUUAUUCUUUUUGAUCCUCUUAGAGGUUUAUGGAGAGGCAGGAUUGUAUAUAUGUACUUUUGGGUUUUGGAUAUAUAUGUACAUAUGUGUAAAUAUUCUCCGGCCAGUCUUGUAAUGUCCCAAGCUUCUUUUUUUUUUCUAUUAUUACUAUCCUAUACCCUUUAAUUUUAUCAAAAUUCCUACAGUACCCUUAUUCCUCCUACCCAACCCUAACCCUAAAUUACUAAACAACUUCCACUCUUCCUCAUCAACCACAGCCCCCCUUCUUUUCAAAACUCACACCAUAG